rnacentral:rRNA from 1 species
UACGGAGGGUGCGAGCGUUGUCCGGAAUCAUUGGGCGUAAAGGGCGCGUAGGUGGCCCGGUCAGUCAGUGGUGAAAGCGCGGGGCUCAACCCCGCGUCGGCCAUUGAUACUGCGGGGCUCGAGCAAUGUAGAGGCAGGCGGAAUUCCGGGUGUAGCGGUGGAAUGCGUAGAGAUCCGGAAGAACACCGGUGGCGAAGGCGGCCUGCUGGGCAGUUGCUGACACUGAGGCGCGACAGCGUGGGGAGCAAACAGG